rnacentral:misc_RNA from 1 species
GUCUUGGGCAUCAACCUUAACAUUCCACUUUCACUGAGCUUGCUUCUCAAUGUCUGUAGCAAGAAGGUUCCCUCUGGUUUCCAAUGCUCCUAAAGACAGAUUUCUUUCUGCCGAGCUAGUUUCUAUGGAUUUUAUAAGUCUUUCAUGAGGUACCAAAUUACUGUUUAAAUUAAUUUGUGUCAGUGAUGUAGUAAGUUUGAAAGCGUUUGUGCUUAAAAAAAAAA